CGCCGGAUCGCACGCCAGAUCCACCAGUACGCCCAGACCGCGGCCUCGAUCCCACCAGAAUGAUUAUUAUCUCUCUCCUCCCACCAGCGGCCUCGACCUGGGAUCGCCAGGGACGCCGCCGCCGCCGCCACGGAUCCCACGGACGCCGCCUCCGCGGAUCCCACGGCGCCACCUCGCCGCCACCUCGCCACCGCUGGUCGCCAUGGCGCGGCGUCACCCCGCCGCCACCUCGGCCAAGCGCCGCGCCGCCCCUCCGAACCCUAGCCCGCCCCCUCCGCCCGCCGACGGAUCGCUUCCGCUCCUCCACGCGGCGAGCUGCGGCGACCUGCGCCUCUUCAAGAGGCUGGUGAGAGAUCUGGAUCAGGGCAGGGGCCGUCCCAGGGAGGUGGUGGAGGCGGCCAAGGACCAAGGUCUCGUGGCGCUGCACUUCGCUGCCGGGAAGGGAAGGCCACGGGUGUGCAGGUACCUGGUCGAUGAGCUAGGGGUCGAUGUGGACGCCGUCGACAAUGGAGAAUUGGGCUAUAGGAAACUGUAUGUUGACCAGCACCAGUUUAUUUUUCAAAAUAAACCGGGGAUUCCGCCAUGCCCCGCGUCAAGUCCGGCUCUAGCGGCUGCUUGUUCUACCGGAGGAAGCACUCAUGGCGCUGCGAUGAGUUAGUGAGCAGGAGCACCGUGCAUCUGGUGAGGGCCUUCUUCAUCAUCUCCCAUCAAUUGCUAUCAGUUGCCACUUGCCAGUCAGAAUCGGCCUGCAGACGUUGUUUCUUUGUGCGCAUUGGUCUUGAGGAAGAUGUCCAAAUUAUGUUUUCCCCUUGACCAUCAGAUGAAGCUUGGUCUCCGGCUUUGGUCAUAUGUUUGAGAGGAAGCUUCUCAUGGAAGGGUAAUGCAUUGGCAUCCUUUUAUUUUUCUUAAGCAUGCAUCUAAAUUCACGUAAUUUUGUAUUAGAAUUUAGAAGAAAGUCACCGAGAAGCCUCAGAAUACAAACCCAAACCAAAAACCAAAUCCAAACAAAUAAAAUAAAAUUAUACGAAAGAAGAAGAACAUUGAAACAAAGAUCCUUGUACUGUUUAUAAUGCGUAUGCAUUCCUUUACUAUUUUUCACCAUAAGAUCCUUUUAUCACUCAUUAAAAUUUCACAAGUUCUUGCCACACCCGAAGCUUCCGUUCUCGCUGACUUCACCGGAAUGCCUGCACCAUGUUCCACGGUACCAAUUUUUAAUCCUGUGUUUAGGUGCUUCUACAUGAACCCUGUGCAUAGUCUCGAUCACCACCCACCGGGGCAGCUACUUCUGCUGUCAGUAGCACUUUCCUCUGACAUAUGUGUUUUUCUGUCAUUCUGUGCUUCUACAUUAAUCCCGUGUCAUUGUAUUUAGGUUCUCUAAGGCCUAAACUGUGACUUUUCUUAAUUGUAUGUCUUACACCUCAUUUUAUUGUACUAAUUUAUUCAGUUGCACCAUUACUAGGUGGGGAGAGUUUGGGUUCGGAAGGUAGUGGGUGGGAGCGGAGGAAGGAAAGGGGAGAAAGAUGUGCUUUCCUCGCUGCAACGCACGGGCAAUUAACUAUAUUGCUAAUAAUUAUGAGGGCUCCUGCAGUGACACUACUAUUUUUGCAGGUGAAGCGACAACCAAGUUUCCAAGUUUAUGUCAGAAUACAAGAGAAGGGGGUUUAGUAUUUUCUUGAUGGCACAUGUUGGAAGGUCUGCAGGAGGUGCCUUUGAGGACUUGCUCGUCUACUCGAGCUUCACUGUCAGCGAAGUCUCCACUGGGUUGCCUAGAUCUGUCCUGAAUUGCUUCAUUGAUGACAAUUUGGAGAAGGCUCCGCUGACACUUACAAGGAUGUUUUCCUUUGUUAGAAAGACGAGGAUGCGCUGGAGAUAGACAUGGGGUGGUAAGAAAAUGACGAGCUCCUGAUGGUAUUAUGCUUGCUGGUCUGAACCAACAUGUAUUAUGUCAGUUUGUUGUUAAGAGUAUCUUGAAAAUAUAAAGCCACUGGAGGGCCAGGCAUUCGGUACCAUCGUCUUUCCAAUAGCCCACAUUUCUGCAUGUAUAUAUUUGUUGUACUGCCUAUGCUGGCUUUCCUGCAAUAAUAAUUAUCAAAAGGUAAUAUGCAGCA